rnacentral:rRNA from 1 species
CCUACGGGUGGCAGCAGUGGGGAAUAUUGCACAAUGGGGGGAACCCUGAUGCAGCAAUGCCGCGUGGGUGAAGAAGCACUCCGGUGCGUAAAGCCCUGUCAGCAGGGAAGAAAAUGACAGUACCUGACCAAGAAGCCCCGGCUAACUACGUGCCAGCAGCCGCGGUAAUACGGAGGGGGCAAGCGUUAUCCGGAUUUACUGGGUGUAAAGGGAGCGCAGGCGGUACGGCAAGUCCGAUGGGAACACCCAGGGCCCAGCCCUGGGCCUGCAUUUGAAACUGCCAUACUGGGGGGCCGGAGAGGUAAGUGGAAGGCGUAGUGUAGCGGGGAAAUGCGUAGAUAUUAGGGGGAACACCAGUGGCGAAGGCGGCUUACUGGACGGUAACUGACGCUGAGGCUCGAAAGCGUGGGGAGCAAACAGGAUUAGAUACCCGGGGAGUC